rnacentral:rRNA from 1 species
GACGAACGCUGGCGGCGCGCUUAACACAUGCAAGUCGAGCGAAGCGGCGGACGGGUGAGUAACACGUGAGUAACCUGCCUUAGACAUUGGGAUAGCCUCGGGAAACCGGGCUUAAUACCAAAUGGUCUAAGAUGGACUCGCGUCCCAUUAGCUAGUUGGGAGGUAACGGCCCAACAAGGCGACGAUGGGUAGCCGGCCGGAGAGGGUGAACGGAAACAUUGAAACGGAGAAACGGUCCAAACUAUACGGGAGGGAGCAGUGGGGAAUAUUGCACAAUGGAGUGAAUGCUGAUGCAGCGAGGCCGCGUGAACGAAGAAGGCUGUCGAGUCGUAAAGUUCUUUUAUAUGGGAAGCGGUACCAGAAGAAAAAGCCCCGGCUAACUACGUGCCAGCAGCCGCGGUAAUAC